GAUGAACGCUAGCGGCAGGCUUAAUACAUGCAAGUCGAGGGGCAGCAUGAUUGUAGCAAUACAAUUGAUGGCGACCGGCAAACGGGUGCGGAACACGUACACAACCUUCCAACAAGUGGGGGAUAGCCCAGAGAAAUUUGGAUUAAUACCCCGUAACAUAGCGAUGUGGCAUCACAUUGCUAUUAUAGAUUUUUUGCUGGUUGAUGGGUGUGCGGCUGAUUAGAUAGUUCGCGGGGUAACGGCCCACCAAGUCUACGAUCAGUAGCUGAUGUGAGAGCAUGAUCAGCCACACGGGCACUGAGACACGGGCCCGACUCCUACGGGAGGCAGCAGUAAGGAAUAUUGGACAAUGGACGCAAGUCUGAUCCAGCCAUGCCGCGUGAAGGAUUAAGGUCCUCUGGAUUGUAAACUUCUUUUAUAAGGGACGAAAAAAGGCUUUUCUAAGUCGUCUGACGGUACCUUAUGAAUAAGCACCGGCUAACUCCGUGCCAGCCGCCGCGGUAACAC
rnacentral:rRNA from 1 species